AACUUAGAAUUGUGUUCCUCAGGAUCUUGAGGAAAGAACAUAGAGCAACCAACAAUGAUGUACGGUGACCUAUGGCAUCUCAUUCAAUUACAAGGUGAGGAUAGGAAAAUCAUCCCUUCAUUUACUCAGCCAUCCACUAAUUCUCACAAUUACAUAUUGAGGGACUACUAGGUAACAAAAGUUUGGACUAAAGUUAUCAAAUCUGCUAUAAAAUGCACAUUGUUAUAGGUAUUCCAUAUAUAAAUGCAUGUUUACAUGCCUUCAUUGGAGUACUGUUGAGUACCUGUUGUGUGUAAGGUGCUGUGCUAGAUAUGACUGGAACAUAGGAAUGAAUUAGAAAAAAUACCUCUUUAACAGAGUAGCCAGCUGCGCAUGUCAGUUCUGAGGUGGGUAGAGCUUGCUUUAGAGAAGCUGCUGUGGGGUGUACCGCAUUCGAACUGGUUCCUGAAGGCUAGAUUGGAAUUCCCUAGGGGGAGAUGGGGAAAGAGAAAGUAGAGGGAACUUUCUAAGGAAAUGUUCAGAGGUGGAAAAUGGCAGGUAGAAAAUGUUUAAGGAUGACCAUUUGGUGGGCACAGCGUGGGUGCAUAAUGAUUGCAUGAGCUGAGCAGAACAGCCGCAGGAGAGGAGGGAGCAGAUCGUAGCAGGCUUCCUUUCAAUCCUGGAGUAGAGAUUUGGAGCUCUGCGUUCACACAUUGGUGCAGCAUUUGUGUUUCCCGUGGAAAGAAUAAGAAGAUCAGAGCUGGGCUAUAACAACCUUUAUCAUAUGGUGGAAUGGGGACUGUCUUUAAGAGGGGCAGGCUUAGGCAGGGAGAUGAACUGUGCAGGCAGUUUGUAGAGACCCAGGAAAGAGGACGUGAUAACUACAGAAGAUGGAAGGUAUAUGAACCAGAGAGUUAUUUACUUAUCUGCAGUAUGGGGAAAGUCAUCCUGUUGCAUAGAGCCAUUAAGGAGAUUAUGUGGAAUCAUGUAUGCAAGAGUCUUGCACAGUGUCUGCACAUGGCAUGUGUUUACACCAUCCCUAGCAAAGAGCUGUUUAAUGAAAUAAGAUUCCUUGUAAUUGUAAAACUAAAACAUACACUACAGACAAUGUCACUGGCCACUGUCUUCAAGUGAAUCCUGGAGUUUAGCAAAUGCAUGGGUGAAAUAGCCAGCGACAAAUAUCUGGAUGGUGAGUAUACAGCUCUAUCCAUCUACUUUUCUUUGGCUUAUACUGCCUGUGUCUAAGAAAGGAAACAGUUUUUAACAUAUUGACAUACGGACUACUAUACACAUAAGAAUUAUUAUUAAGGGCACAAGUGUUAUGUUGGCAGGAAAUUGAGAAAUGUUUGGGGCCUCCAUGUAGGAGACCAAGAGCAGGAGCAUUUACAGUUUAUAUCUGAGAGUGUAGAAGCUAGCUGCCCAGGCUGCACAGGAAAAAGCCUCUAAAAGGCACAUUCUCUCCCCUUCCACCACUGCCACUCCUCAGCCCUGAUCACCAUUACUUUCUAAUCAGAGCUUGAGAGGAAACAUAUGUUUUUCAUAUUUCAAGAUAAACUGAAGAUUUUCCUGAGAUUCCCUGGAUCCUAAGAAGAGAGGAAAGAAUUGGUGACCCAUCCAGAUUUGUGUAAAACAACCUCACUAGUGUGAUCAAGGCCAUUCAAGGAACAGUGUUAGACUAUUAUUCAAGAAUUGUGUUGUGAGUCAGGGCAAUGUGGCUCAUGCCUGUAAUCCCAGCACUUUGGAGGCUGAGGCGGGAGGAUCAUCUGAGCUCAGGAGUUUGGACCAGUGUGGCCAACAGGUGAAAUGCUGUCUCUACUGAAAACACAAAAAUUAGCUGGGCAUAAUGAUGUGCACCUGUAAUCCCAGCUACUCGAGAGGCUGAGGCAGGAUAAUUUCUUGAACCAGGGAGGCAGAGGUUGCUGUGAUCUGAGAUGGCGCCACUGCACCCCAGCCUGGGUGAUAGAGCAAGACUCUAUCUCAGAACAAAGAAGAAAGAAUUGUGAAGAAAGAUAACCUUACCCAACACUUCUUUCCUUCCCAAGUGUCUGGAAGGCUUGCCUGGGUGUGAAUCUUAGGAAUACUUCCUUGACUUCAAAUUAAGUUGGCAUUUAUUUGACCAAGAGUUACAGAUACC
rnacentral:lncRNA from 13 species